GACGAACGCUGGCGGCGUGCUUAAUACAGGCAAUUCGUACGGUAAGGCCCUUUCGUGGGUACACGAGUGGCUGACGGGUGAGUAACACUUGAGUAACCUGCCCACAACUUUUGGAUAACGCUAGGAAACUGGUGCUAAUACUCGAAAUAUGCUUCUUCUGCAUGGUGGUGUUUGGAAAGCUCCUUCGGUUGUUGAUCGACUCGCGGCCUAUGAGCUUGUUGGUGGGGGAGUGGCCUACCAAGCCGGCGACGGGUAGCCGGACUAUGAGGGUGAACGGACACAUAGGGACUGAAAUACGGCCCAGAAUCAUAAGGGAGGCAGCAGUGGGGAAUAUUGAACAAGCGACGAAAGCCUGAUGAAGAAACGCCGCGUGCGGGAUGACGGUCUUCGGGUUGUAAAACGCUUUCAGCAGGGAAGAAGCUUUUUGUGACGGUACCUAAAGAAGAAGCACCGGCUAACUACGUG
rnacentral:rRNA from 1 species